rnacentral:lncRNA from 1 species
AUCAAGGAGGGGUACCUGCACACCCGCACAGGGGUGGCAUCACCCCCGCUGUCCCCAUCUUGGGAACAUCUCCGAGGAGGGGGACAUGCUCGGUGCCGUGAGGAUGCUGCCAGAGUGGUCGGGGAUGGGCAUCCUGGGGCUGGGGCUGGUGGUGGCACUGGAGGUGACACCUCUGCCUCCUUGUCUGGCUGUGCCACGGGUGACAGCGGGUGAGGGCCAGGUGCCACCAGCGCUUCUCCACCCCUCGGCCACCAUCGAGGAGGGGUACCUGCACACCCGCACAGGAGGUGGCAUCAACCCACAGUCCCCAACAUCUUGGGAACAUCUCCGAGGAGGGGGAUGCACUCGGUGCCGUGAGGCUGCUGCCAGGGUGGUCGGGGAUGGGCAUCCUGGGGCUGGGGGUGGUGGUGGCACUGGAGGUGACACCUCUGCCUCCUUGUCUGGCUGUGCCACGGGUGACAGUGGGCGAGGGCCAGGUGCCACCAGCGCUUCUCCCCUCCUCGGCCACCAUCAAGGAGGGGGACCUCCUUGGUGCUGUGAAGAUGAUGCCAGGGGGGUUGGGAACGGGCAUCCUGGGGCUGGGGCUGGUGGUGGUACUGGAGGUGACACCUCUGCCUUCUUGUCUGGCUGUGCCACGGGUGCCAGCGGGCGAGGGCCAGGUGCCACCAGCGCUUCUCCCCUCCUCGGCCACCAUCAAGGAGGGGGACCUCCUUGGUGCUGUGAAGAUGAUGCCAGGGGGGUUGGGAACGGGCAUCCUGGGGCUGGGGCUGGUGGUGGUACUGGAGGUGACACCUCUGCCUUCUUGUCUGGCUGUGCCACGGGUGCCAGCGGGCGAGGGCCAGGUGCCACCAGCGCUUCUCCCCUCCUCGGCCACCAUCAAGGAGGGGGACCUCCUUGGUGCUGUGAAGAUGAUGCCAGGGUGGUUGGGAACGGGCAUCCUGGGGCUGCGGGUGGUGGUGGCACUGGAGGGGUACCUGCACUGGAUGGGUACCUGCACACCCACACAGGGGUGGCAUCGUCCCCGCUGUCCCCAUCUUGGGAACAUCUCCAAGGAGGGGGACGCACUCGGUGCUGCCAGGGUGGUCGGGGAAGGGCAUCCUGGGGCUGGGGGUGGUGGUGGCACUGGAGGUGACACCUCUGCCUCCUUGUCUGACUGUGCCUCGGGUGACAGCCACCAUCAAGGAGGGGUACCUGCACACCCACACAGGAGGUGGCAUCACCCCCGCUGUCCCCAACAUCUUGGGAACAUCUCCGAGGAGGGGGACCUCCUUGGUGCCAUGAGGAUGCUGCCAGAGUGGUCAGGGAUGGGCAUCCUGGGGCUGGGGGUGGUGGUGGCACUGAAGGGGUACCUGCACUGGAGGGGUACCUCCACACCCACACAGGGGGUGGCAUUGCCCCCGCUGUCCCCAACAUCUUGGGAGCAUCUCCGAGGAGGGGGACGCAGUCGGUGCUG